AACGGUCUAUACCUGCGGUACCUGCGGAGGGAUCAUUAUCGAGUGUUGGCCUACUUGUAGGCCGUCCUCCCACCCUUUGUUUAAAGACCUGUUGCUUCGGCGUUUCGAUUCAUUUUGAUUUGAAUGGACCGUCGGCUCUUGAGCGGACGUGUUAUUCGCCGAAGGACUUUUAAACUCUGUUUUUGAGUUGUCUGAGUUAAAUUCAAAAAAGAAAAACUUUUAACAACGGAUCUCUAGAUC
rnacentral:misc_RNA from 1 species